rnacentral:rRNA from 1 species
CCAAUAGCGUAUAUUAAAGUUGUUGCAGUUAAAAAGCUCGUAGUUGAAUUUCGAGAUCAAAUUGUUGGUCGUGCCUCGGUACGUACUGGCAUUAUUGAUUUCUCCCUUCUGAAGAACCACGAUGUCAUUAAUUUGGUGUCGUGGGGAAUCAGGACUGUUACUUUGAAAAAAUUAGAGUGUUUAAAGCAGGCUUACGCUUGAAUACAUUAGCAUGGAAUAAUGAAAUAGGACGUUUAAUUCUAUUUUGUUGGUUUCUAGGGUUGACGUAAUGAUUAAUAGGGAUAGUUGGGGGCAUUAGUAUUCAAUUGUCAGAGGUGAAAUUCUUGGAUUUAUUGAAGACUAACUACUGCGAAAGCAUUUGCCAAGGAUGUUUUCAUUAAUCAAGAACGAAAGUUAGGGGAUCGAAGACGAUCAGAUACCGUCGUAGUCUUAACCAUAAACUAUGCCGACUAGGGAUCGGAUGAUGUUAAUUUAUGACUCAUUCGGCGCCUUACG